UGGGCGGAGUCUUCCAGUGUAACUCAGGUGAUACAGGUGGGCGGAGUCUUCCAGUGUAACUCAGGUGAUACAGGUGGGCGGAGUCUUCCAGUGAAACUCAGGUGAUCCAGGUGGGCGGAUCUUCCAGUGUAACUCAGGUGAUCCAGGUGGGUGGAGUCUUCCAGUGUAACUCAGGUCAUACAGGUGGGUGGAGUCUCCCAGUGUAACUCAGGUCAUACAGGUGGGUGGAGUCUCCCAGUGUAACUCAGGUGAUACAGGUGGGUGGAGUCUUCCAGUGUAACUCAGGUGAUACAGGUGGGCGGAGUCUUCCAGUGUAACUCAGGUGAUACAGGUGGGCGGAGUCUUCCAGUGUAACUCAGGUGAUACAGGUGGGCGGAGUCUUCCAGUGUAACUCAGGUGAUACAGGUGGGCCGAGUUUUCCAGUGAAACUCAGGUGAUACAGGUGGGCGGAUCUUCCAGUGUAACUCAGGUGAUACAGGUGGGCGGAGUCUUCCAGUGUAACUCAGGUGAUACAGGUGGGCGGAGUCUUCCAGUGUAACUCAGGUGAUACAGGUGGGCGGAGUCUUCCAGUGAAACUCAGGUGAUCCAGGUGGGCGGAUCUUCCAGUGUAACUCAGGUGAUCCAGGUGGGUGGAGUCUUCCAGUGUAACUCAGGUCAUACAGGUGGGUGGAGUCUCCCAGUGUAACUCAGGUCAUACAGGUGGGUGGAGUCUCCCAGUGUAACUCAGGUCAUACAGGUGGGUGGAGUCUCCCAGUGUAACUCAGGUGAUCCUGGUGGGUGGAGUCUUCCAGUGUAACUCAGGUGAUCCAGGUGGGUGGAGUCUUCCAGUGUAACUCAGGUGAUCCAGGUGGGUGGAGUCUUCCAGUGUAACUCAGGUGAUCCAGGUGGGUGGAGUCUUCCAGUGUAACUCAGGUGAUCCAGGUGGGUGGAGUCUUCCAGUGUAACUCAGGUGAUCCAGGUGGGUGGAGUCUUCCAGUGUAACUCAGGUGAUCCAGGUGGGUGGAGUCUUCCAGUGUAACUCAGGUGAUCCAGGUGGGUGGAGUCUUCCAGUGUAACUCAGGUGAUCCAGGUGGGUGGAGUACUGGACACCUUUUGGUAACAUGAUAUCCUUGUCUGUCCCACAAGGGGACGAUGGCAAAGUAUUUUAGUUUUGUGAAAACUAGAAAGUAUCAUCUUCCCAGAAGUAGCUAGCCGUCUUUAGCCCGGGUGUCUUUAGCCUGGCCUGGCCGUCUUUAGCCUGGACGUCGUUAGCCUGGCCGUCUUUAGCCUGGACGUCUUUAGCCCGGACGUCUUUAGCCCGGACGUCUUUAGCCCGGCUGUCUUUAGCCUGGCUGUCUUUAGCCUCUUUAGCCCGGCCGUCUUUUGCCCGGCCGUCUUUAGCCCGGCUGUCUUUAGCCUGGCUGUCUUUAGCCUCUUUAGCCCGGCCGUCUUUUGCCCGGCCGUCUUUAGCCCGGCCUGGCCGUCUUUAGCCCGGCCUGGCCGUCUUUAGCCCGGCCGUC